AUGUUCUUUUACGGCAACUGCAUCAUCAGCUGGCAGUCACUCAAGCAGAAGGUCGUGGCCCUAUCAUCGUGUGAGGAUGAGUACAUCAGCGCCACAACGGCGGCAUGCCAAGGAGUUUGGCUGGCUCGUUUUCUCAGCGAGCUCAAGAAGGAGAGGCCGACAUGUUUCCCACUCUGGAUGGAUAACAAAUCAGCCAUCUCACUCGCGAAGAAUCCGGUGUUCCACGAGCGGAGUAAACACAUUGAUAUCCAUUUCCACUUAAUCAGAGAGUGUGUGGAGAACAAGCAAAGUGGAGGUGGAGUUCGUCGGAACGAACGGGCAGCUCGCCGAUCUUCUCACCAAGGCACUCGGGUGCGUGCGCUUCACGGAGCUGCGUGCAAGGAUCGGUAUGAUAGAGGUUGA
rnacentral:rRNA from 1 species